UACUAGAGUAGCACUCGCAUAUCAAUAAGCGGAGGAAAAGAAACUAACAAGGAUUCCCCUAGUAACGGCGAGUGAAAGCGGGAAGAGCUCAAAUUUGAAAUCUUAAAGGGUUUCCCUUUACGAAUUGUAGUUUAAAGAAGUGUUUUCUGUUGAGGUUUUGGUAAAAGUUCUUUGGAAUAGGACAUCAUAGAGGGUGAGAAUCCCGUAUUUGACCUUUACUUUCAACUUUGUGAUACACUUUCAAAGAGUCGGAUUGUUUGGGAAUGCAGUCCAAAAUGGGUGGUAAAUUUCAUCUAAAGCUAAAUAUUGGCGAGAGACCGAUAGCGAACAAGUACCGUGAGGGAAAGAUGAAAAGAACUUUGAAAAGAGAGUUAAACAGUACGUGAAAUUGUCAAAAGGGAAGCGUUUGACACCAGUGUUGUUUUUCUGAAAAUCAAUUAAAGAACUGUUUAUGCUAAGUUGUUUAGACUUUAUCAGCUAUCUGCUUAGUUUUGAGCUUUUCUUUAAUGCACUUUUCAGUUAACAAGUCAACAUCAAUUUCUUUUGCUGUAAAAAAGCUUGAGGAAGGUGGCUUGAGAUUCGUCUUAAGUGUUUAUAGCCUCUUGCCUAUGCAGUCGGAGAGAUUGAGGUCUGCAGCGUAGAUCCUUCGGGGCUAAAUGCAUUUGUGCUAAGUUAUAGCAUUUUAUAGACAACUUGUUGACUAUGAUUUGUCUUGUAGCUUACUCGCUUAUGUUAUUUUACCUACGCUUAGGAUGUUGAACUCUAUCACACACAG
rnacentral:rRNA from 1 species